rnacentral:tRNA from 1 species
UGCGGGCUGGUGUAACCAGGCAGCACGACCGGCUCUGGACCGGUCGGUGGAGGUUCGAAUCCUCCGCCCGCAG